rnacentral:lncRNA from 1 species
UCAGCAUCAUCAUCAUCAUCAUCAUCAUCAUCAUCAUCAUCAUCAUCAUCAUCAUCAUCAUCGUCCAUGUCAACAUUAUUACAGCAUCUGCAUUACUAUCAUCACCACUAUCAUCAUUACCAUUAUCGUCAUCAGCCUGAUCAUCAUUGUUAUCAUCAUUGUCAUAAUCAUCGUCAUCAUUAUCAUCAUUAUCACCAUCAGUAGUAUCCCAGGGUUCUUUCACCUCGCCCCCUCUACAGGUAAACAUAAUGAUAAAAUGUUCAUGAGGAUGCUCACUGCCUCCUCAUCAUCAAACUCUGUCCCACUCUCUACCUGAAACACAUACUAAUGUACAUAUGUACACACAUGCACACACAAACACACACAAACACACAGAGAAACACUGGCGAACACACACUCAUGCACACACACAUUAAUCAAUCCUCCUCCCUUCACUGAUCAAUAUAUAACAGGUCCAUUUCCCACGAUCCUCUGAUCUGCCCUGAUCUGCCUGCCUGUUUGUGUGUGUGUGUGUGUGUGUGUGUGUGUGUGUGUGUGUGUGUGUGUGUGUGUGUGUGUGUGUGUGUGUGUGAUUAGCAUUGUUACCAUCAGGCUGCCCCUCAUCAGAAGUUAUUGAUCAGUGUCCUGAACCUCCAUCAGCUUCUAUUGACCAACAACAUGUACGUGUGUGUGUGCGUGCGUGUGUGUGCGUGUCUCUGUUUAUGUGUAGGGGGGUGAUUAUCAUUGGCUGUGUUUUAAUUUACACUCAGCAAGAGAGGAGCAGUGUGAUUAGUCCAAGGUGAGAACAUCUAGGGUGUUUUUAUGUGUGUGUGUGUGUGUGUGUGUGUGUGUGUGUGUGUGUGUGUGUGUGUGUGUGUGUGUGUGUGUGUGUGUGUGUGUGUGUGUGUGUGUGUGCCUAGGUGUGGAGCUGAGGAUUAGUUAGUAACUGUGUUUUCACCAAUGAUGACCAGCUGAUGUUUCGGACUAACAGCACAUAAACUAAUUAAAAACUUCUAUCUGUCUGUCCUGUGGUUAAUCCUCUGAACAAAAACUGAGAAAACAGACUCAGACUGAGAAACAACUGUUUCUACCUGACAUACACCUUACUUCAAUUAAGUAUAGCAUUUGAAUCUUGUCUUUUAACCUUCAAAGCUCUUCAUGGUCAGGCACCAUCAUACCUUAAAGAGUUUGUCAUUGCCUAUUACCUGACUAGAACUCUGAGAGUAUGCAGGUGUGCUUAUUUUACUUAAAAUCUCUGAAAAGUCUCAGUAGAGUCACUAAGACACAGUCUUUGCAGGGUGUCCCUGAGCUCCAUCAUCCUGGAGGUUUCUCUAGUCUCUGGAUCGCUGCUACAGACGUCCUGCUGCUGUUGACCUACUGCUUUCUUGCUACUUCAACUAGAAGCAUCAGUCUAUCCUCAGUCUAUACUUGAACCCCAUUUUACAAGAUUGGGCUCAAUCUGAAUCUUUCUUAAUGAUGGGUCCUUGUAAAUAGAGUCUGGUCUAGACAAGCAUUCUUGUGAAGCGUCUUGGGAUAACACUGGCUGUGAACUGGGGCUAAAGAUUUAUUGACUUUUGUGAAAAUAUUAUCUUUAACUUGAGCUGGUUUCACUCUGAACACCUGUUUUUUGAGUUCAGCAAGAAGACUCAGAGGUCAGGUAAUCACAGGUGAUUGAUGAUCUACCUGAGCAGCAGAUUGUUAUGCAGGAAGAGGCGCAUCAUCUUCAUCCUCCUCAUCCUCCUCAUUAAUCAGUGCAGACAGAC